GCAAGUCGAACGGACUUAUAGGAGCUUGCUCUUAUAAGUUAGUGGCGCACGGGUGAGUAACGCGUGGAUAACCUGCCCCUGAAUCAGGGACAACAAUACGAAAGUGUUGCUAAUACCUGAUACUUUCAUUUAAUCAGCGAUGAUUUUAUGAAGAAAGACGGCCUUUGUGCUGUUGUUCAGGGAGGGGUCCGCGUUCUAUUAGCUAGUUGGUGGGGUAAUGGCCUACCAAGGCGAUGAUAGAUAACCGGCCUGAGAGGGUGACC
rnacentral:rRNA from 1 species